rnacentral:rRNA from 1 species
GACGAACGCUGGCGGCGUGCUUAACACAUGCAAGUCGAACGGAAAGGCCCUGCUUUUGUGGGGUGCUCGAGUGGCGAACGGGUGAGUAACACGUGAGUAACCUGCCCUUGACUUUGGGAUAACUUCAGGAAACUGGGGCUAAUACCGGAUAGGAGCUCCUGCUGCAUGGUGGGGGUUGGAAAGUUUCGGCGGUUGGGGAUGGACUCGCGGCUUAUCAGCUUGUUGUUGGGGUAGUGGCUUACCAAGGCUUUGACGGGUAGCCGGCCUGAGAGGGUGAACGGGCACAUUGGGCCUGAGAGACGGACCAGUCUCCUACGGGAGGCAGCAGUGGGGAAUAUUGCACAGUGGGCCGAAGUGUGAUGCAGCAACGCUGCGUGCGGGAUGACGGCUUUCGGGUUGUAAACAGCUUUCGCCUGUGACGAAGCGUUAGUGACGGUAAUGGGUAAAGAAGCACCGGCUAACUACGUG